rnacentral:lncRNA from 1 species
UAGUGAAUAGAUAAAUAAAUAUAUGAUCGGUCAUACAUACAUAUAUGGCCGACCAGAGCAGAGCUAUAUAGCGAGCGAUCCAUGCAUGCAUCUUGGCAUAGAUUAAGAUUGUGCCGGUGUGUUUGUUUUAAUUAUACAUUAAGCAUGCAUUUGGGAUGUAAAUAUGUAUUGCCUAUUUGCCUUGCAGCGAGCGAGCGCGCGUACGUACGGGAUGUGAUUGCUGCAUGCGCAGCUCUCCAUAUAUACAUGUAUGGAGAGCAUAUAUGUAUGUAUGUAUUCAUGAGUGACAACCAGCUUAAU